rnacentral:rRNA from 1 species
UACAGAGGUCCCAAGCGUGUUCGGAUUCACUGGGCGUAAAGGGUGCGCAGGUGGCUGGGUAAGUUUGAUGUGGAAAGCCCCGGGCUUAACCCGGGAACGGCAUUGAAUACUAUUCGGCUGGAGGAUUGGAGGGGGACUGAAUUCUUGGUGUAGCAGUGAAAUGCGUAGAUAUCAAGAGGAACACCAGUGGCGAAGGCGAGUCCCUGGGUCAACACUGACGCUCAUGCACGAAAGCGUGGGGAGCAAACAGG